GGGUUUUUGUCAAGCUGCUGCAUUAAUUAAAGUUGGUCCUGCCUAACAAGCAUGUGGGCCUGAGCAAGCUGUGCUAAAGGCCUGGCACAUCCGAAUUUAUUGACCAAUUAAGAAUCCCCUGCAGCUAAUUAAGCUCCCUCAGCUUUUCGGUAUUGGUGUGUUUGCCAUACAGCAGAGCAUGUGCUGGCUGGGGCUAGGAAGGGCUGGUUUUCCACCACCACCACCACGGGCUGCCCUGGUGGGUGCUGGUGGGACCAUGCGAGGCAUGCCCUGUGCCACCAGCUGAGCUGCGUGCCAGAGGGUGGGCAGCACGGUGCUCAUUGUGGUUUGAGCCCUGCAGCAAAUGGGCAACAAGGAGCAAACUUUAUAGGCUGUCUGAAACAUAAGCAGUUGCUGCACUGUGAAAAACAGGGAUUUAAAGGGGAGACAAGUGUGCUGGGACAGCUCUUCAGCUCUGCCUGACAACGUCUCCUAGCUUGCGGCAUGAAAAAUGGGGAUUAUUUCUCCCGGUGCUGGAGAGGGGACAGGGCCCAUAAGUCGCUCAGAGCCGUCCGGACAUGCCGAACUCUGCCCUGUGGCCCGAUAACAUCAGGGCAAAAUACCUGCCAACAAGUCGGCAACAGGAAGCCGUCAGAGUGGGGAAGAAAGCACGAUAGCGUCAUCUCUCUCUGCUCGUAAAAUAACAGCGCUUUUUUUUAACGUGACCCAGGUACUAAGUAGCAAUGCACCAGCCAAGCUGUAAGAGAAGCCUUUGUUUAACAACUGGAAAAAGUGCUUAAAUCACUCAUAAAAUAUUACCCGCGUUUGACAAGUUUAUCUAGCAGUACCGUUGAGAUCCUCAGCAAUGGUGUUUCUGCAGUCAAAAAGGAGCAUUUUAUACGAGGGUGGAUGUGUAAUUAUUUAAAGCAUUAAUAGCAGUUCAGCAGGAUACUCUUGUGCUGUCCGCACUGAAAUUUAACUACUUCUGCACACUGAGCUGCUAGUACCUGGGAGGGCAGGUCAGAGCCAGGCACGAUUUUAGGACGGUGUGGUGUAAAGGACCACGUCUGAAGCUGAAAACAACCAGGAGAGGCAGGAUGCUGGCAGUGCCGUUCUGGAGCAGGCUCCACAUGUCCUGUGGGACCCGCAGCAUUGGGUCCCAGCACGGCCCCACUGCCCUGCAGGGCUCGGUCAGGCAGCAGGGCUCAGGUCCCCAGCUGUGCUCUAUUUGGGGUGACACACAAAAUACAGGUCAUGCUCUGCUGUGAAUUACGGGUCAGAGCUGCACCCAUAAAGGAGUGCAGCUUUAUAAGCAUGGUUUCACGUCAAGCCAUAGGAACUGCUCUGAUCAGCUGGAACUAAAGCCUGAUGUCCCCUCCUGGGGCAGCAAGUGCCAAUAAUUCAGUGGGUCCAUCGCAAGGAGCAUGGAUGAAGAACUGAUACAAAAGAAAUUCUUUUCAUUAUCAAAUC